GCCAAGAGGAGCAAUUUUCGUGCCAUCAGCAAAAAGCUGAAUUUGAUCCCACGUGUGGAUGGCGAGUAUGAUCUGAAAGUACCCCGAGACAUGGCUUACGUCUUCAGUGGUGCUUAUGUGCCCCUGAGCUGCCGAAUCAUUGAGCAGGCUACAGGUUCAUUUUCCUGACGACAGCAGUCACAAACAGCGCUCGCCUUAUGGAGGCCAUGAGUGAGGUGAAAGCCUGAUGUUUUUCCCGGCCAGUGUUGACACCUUCCCUGAACACAUUCCUCAGCGAGAAGCAGGCAUCUGGCACCCAGCUGCUAUAACCAUGUGUCCACCAACUACCUGCUAAGAGCUGGGAGCAUGGAACAUGUUGGGAUUUAGAGAACAUAUCUGAGAAAAGAGUUCACUUCCUGCUCCCAGGAUAUUUCUCUUUUCUGUUUAUGAAGUACAACCCAUGCUGCUAAGAUACGAGCAGGAAGAGGUAUCCUUUGCUAAAUCCUGUUUGAAUAUCAUUGUAAAUAAAGCCUCUGCUCUCAGAUGUAA
rnacentral:sRNA from 1 species